GUUGUGAUGGCCUAGUGCUUGAGGCGUUGGACUCGAAACCCGUUGGAGUUCCCCUGAGCAAGUUCGAACCCUGCCCGCGACG
rnacentral:tRNA from 1 species